rnacentral:rRNA from 1 species
UCGAGGGGUAUAGGUUUUCGGACCUAGAGACCGGCGCACGGGUGCGUAACGCGUAUGCAAUCUACCUUUCACAGAGGGAUAGCCCAGAGAAAUUUGGAUUAAUACCUCAUAGUAUAAUGAGUUGGCAUCAACACAUUAUUAAAGUCACAACGGUGAAAGAUGAGCAUGCGUCCCAUUAGCUUGUUGGUAAGGUAACGGCUUACCAAGGCUACGAUGGGUAGGGGUCCUGAGAGGGAGAUCCCCCACACUGGUACUGAGACACGGACCAGACUCCUACGGGAGGCAGCAGUGAGGAAUAUUGGACAAUGGGCGCAAGCCUGAUCCAGCCAUGCCGCGUGCAGGAUGACGGUCCUAUGGAUUGUAAACUGCUUUUGCACAGGAAGAAACAACUCUACGUGUAGAGUCUUGACGGUACUGUGAGAAUAAGGAUCGGCUAACUCCGUGCCAGCAGCCGCGGUAAUACGGAGGAUCCAAGCGUUAUCCGGAAUCAUUGGGUUUAAAGGGUCCGUAGGCGGUUUAGUAAGUCAGUGGUGAAAGCCCAUCGCUCAACGGUGGAACGGCCAUUGAUACUGCUAAACUUGAAUUAUUAGGAAGUAACUAGAAUAUGUAGUGUAGCGGUGAAAUGCUUAGAGAUUACAUGGAAUACCAAUUGCGAAGGCAGGUUACUACUAAUGGAUUGACGCUGAUGGA